CGACUACGUUACUAUUAGUAAUAACUCUGUUGAUUGUGAUUUGCCAUAGAGAUGUGAGGACAUAUGAGGCAAGAUAAUCAUUUUGGUUAUGGUGUCUCUAGGUAGUUAGCAGGUACUGAACAGUACCUGCUGAUUACCAAUGUUUUAUAGAAUGAGAUAG
rnacentral:sRNA from 1 species